rnacentral:misc_RNA from 1 species
UCGUAGGGGGUUAAACCCCUAUUGAGAUAGCACCCUUUGUUUAUGAGUACCCUUUGUUUCCUCGGCGGGGCAACCCGCCAGAGGACCUUUAAAAACCUUUGCAGUAGUAGUAUCUUCAGUAAAAAACAAAUAUUA